AAAAGCAGCCAUAUCACCCUGCAGCCCAAGACUGGUUGCCCACUGAAGUUAAGCAGGGUUGAGCCUGGUCAGUACCUGGAUGGGAGACCUUCUGGGAAAACUAGGUUGCUGCUGGAA
ensembl:rRNA 5S_rRNA 5S ribosomal RNA